UCUCAACCCCUUCAUUUUAACUCCACAGUCGCCUCCCAUCGUUUGAGACUCUCUCAUCUCUCACUUUGAGAGAGACACGGCAGCCACCCCAUUUCCCCCAUUUUCGUCGCCGCCGGCCAGCCACCAGCAGCCUUGGCUAGCGCCUCCCCCUCUUCUCUUUUAUCUCUCUUCGCCGGAACACCACCAAAGCUAUGAUCUGAAAAUAGGACACCUAUCGAAAUUUCACUUCUGGCCGGAGAAGCUUCAUGUCUUAUCUGAAAUGCUAAGGCCGGCAUUCUUUCCAUGAGGCAAACCGAUAUCUGAGAAUUUUAUGGCCAGAAAUCUGACUUUCCGGCGACCUCUGGUGCUGCUCUUUUACUGUUCACUGCAACCCGUUCUCUUGGUUUUGGACGGAAAUACAGAUUCCGGCGACGUUCCUUGAAGUUGAGCGUUAUUCCGGCGUCCGCCGUCGAAGUAACGCCACUGCUGUUCAUUUGGCCGGAAUAUUUUCUGGCGACCUCCCUUAACGCCAACGACUGUCCUUUUGCUUGUGUAUUUCUUCGCUUAUCAUUUUUUCUUUGCUACAGGUUAACAGAUCUAAACCAAUAAAGGUUAUUUGCCUAGAGAUUGGCCAAAACUUUGGCGUUGUUUCCCUGCCGGUAAUUUCUUCCGACGUCUCUGUUGCCUCGCUUGGGUACUGUUCUCCGGCGUUUGUCGUCGAUUGUGGAACUUUGCCGAUGAAUGUUCAUAGAUAAUUUUUGGGGUCUUUGUUUAUUCUGGCCAACUUCUAUCUCCACGUAUUAUGCUAUAUCAUUAUUAUCACAUUUGGUUCUACAAGUUUGGGUUAAUUUACGCUUGACUGGAACUAUUGAAUUGUUUCUUGCUAAUUAGUUUGUGCAGAUUUCACGUCUGAAUUGUUGUUGAUUUCCCGCACUGUUGGACCUAAGGCUUGGGCUGAUGAGAAAAUAACCUUCGAGUUAUUCAACGCCCCGAAUGACCGUCCGGGUUGGGCCCUAUAAUAAUGAGGCGAUGAUAAACAUCGAAAAAGAAAAAGACGAGAAUUCGAAUCAAUAACCUAUGGAGGGCGACACGGUUGGCAGACGGUGUCUCAACCGAGGCGGUGAGCCUACUAUAUUAUUUUAAACUAUUUUUCAAAAAUAAUUUCCCAAAAACAUUUUCGAACUAUUUUCACAAACAAUCUUUCAAAAAAAAAACAUUUUCGAAUCUUUUUCGGAAAAAUUUCAAAAAAUCAUUUUAAAAACAUGUCAUUUGAUUCAUUUUUACUUUAUGUUAUUUUAUUAAUAAUUUUACUUUCUUAUCUUGCGAGGUACUACUAUACGGAGUUGUUUUUGGAAGACGACACUCGAAGAUAGAAAGACAAAUUUUCGUCAAACUCCCCGCUUCGAAUUUCCUAUUCUAGGAUGUAUCCAAAAUCACAAGUAUAGUGAAAUCGCAGAUAAAUGUCGUAUUAUUUGUUUACUUUGAUCUUUAUCUGUUUGUUAAACACUUAAACACUUAGGGUGUGUUACAUCUAGCUAAUAAUCCGCCAACCUACAACAUUGUGUGUUAAAUAAUUCUUGCAAGGUUGUCUAUACAAAAUCUAGAAUGUCAAAUAUAUAUUUUAUAAUUUAGUCGAUUAAUUAGGAUUAGUGUACACAUACUUAAUUGAAUUGGUUGCAUACAUAAAUGAAAGGCAUGUCGUCUCCUUUUCAAAAAUAGGAGUUUUACCUUUGUUUACAACUACAUAAGCAUUUUUUUAACGAAUCUCUUUGUAAAUUAUUUUUGACUAUUUUACAUCAAGUAAACAUAACUUGUAAAAAUCAUAAUUGAGUCUACCAUAUUUAGGAUUAAUUCAAUUGCUAAAUCCAUUUGGGCCUAAUCUGAUAAUUGCCAACAUUCUCCAUGAGUUAUUGUUUUAAAGGCUAUUCUUGUACAAAGUUUAUAAUAUUCUUA
rnacentral:lncRNA from 1 species